rnacentral:misc_RNA from 1 species
AGCAGCCGCGGUAAUUCCAGCUCCAAUAGCGUAUAUUAAAGUUGCUGCAGUUAAAAAGCUCGUAGUUGAAUUUCGGGAUCAGUUGGUCGGUCGUGCCUCGGUACGUACUGGUCAAAUUGAUUCCUACCUUCUGACGAACCACGAUGUCAUUAAUUUGGUGUCGCGGGAAAUCAGGACUGUUACUUUGAAAAAAUUAGAGUGUUUAAAGCAGGCUCGCGCUUGAAUACAUUAGCAUGGAAUAAUGAAAUAGGACGUUUGAUUCUAUUUUGUUGGUUUCUAGGAUCGACGUAAUGAUUAAUAGGGAUAGUUGGGGGCAUUAGUAUUCAAUUGUCAGAGGUGAAAUUCUUGGAUUUAUUGAAGACUAACUACUGCGAAAGCAUUUGCCAAGGAUGUUUUCAUUAAUCAAGAACGAAAGUUAGGGGAUCGAAGACGAUCAGAUACCGUCGUAGUCUUAACCAUAAACUAUGCCGACUAGGGAUCGGAUGAUGUUAAUUUUUUAAUGACUCAUUCGGCGCCUUAC